GCUUUCCAUAAAGAAACAACUUAAUUUGAACAUUUUUCUUCUUUGUAAAACAUAUUACCUGUGUUUUCUCUACUGAUAUUCGAAAGCCCCACUUCUGUGCCCACUCUUCAACUUUAUUUACUGCUUGCUGAACUUUCUUAACUGUGUAAGUUAUAUUUCUGCCUCUUCUCCAAAGUGCACCAUCGUCUGCAUAUAUUGACCUCCCCAUCCCUUUUUCCACCUCAUUAAAUAUAUCAUUGAUCAUUAUAUUUAAUAGAAGGGGGCUGCAUCCCAGGCUGAAACUAACCAGCCCUGAAAUAGUGCACACUCACUGCUGAUUGGUGAUCACGAGUGUCAAUCACCACCCUUACCUCAUUCAUACGGUCACACAAACAACUUUCGACCACUAAUAAAUGCUGUAAAAAUGUUUCUCCUAUUAGGACCUAAAGCUUUUCAAUGUUUUUUGAUGACUGAGGACACUUUACAAUACAUGUGAUGGUUUGCAUUACUGUGUAUGAAUCGUCAAGGUAUCAGUUAAAUAUCUUCUUUACAUUUCUACUGAAGGAAAAAAAAGACACAUCUGGAUGGCCUGAAGACUGAAAACAUUCACCUGAGAAGAGUGUGUCCUGUAGGCCCUUUUUUCCUGAGAGAAAGUCCUGAAGACCUCAUCAACGAGUACCUUGAUAACCAAACAGAUGAUUGUGACGGUGACCCUGAGCAGCUCUUAGUGGUGGUGUUCAUUAUUCUGAAGAAGGGGGAGAACUUCAUGAACCACCUGCUGACAUUGACAUUGUGAUCGAGGGAGUUAAAGUUUUGAAUCAACUCACUUCAGUCACAUCAGCUUGUGCCCUGCUUCUGGGUAUGAUAUACAUCAACCUAUAAUGGUUUAUAUGAAAGCUUGCGGUCUUUGCUCGUGGUGGAAAUCCCUGAGUUCGUCAGAGUAUCAAUUUAAUGAAUAAGGACAUACUUUUUGCAUUAGAAGAGUAGCUUCAAUCCUUGAAAAGCUUCAAGUCCUGAACAGUGAACUGUGGUAGUGUUUCAGUCUGUAGUACUGUGUUUCUGUCCUCGAUGGUGAGUUUCCAUGUGUAUUUACUUCCAUUUUACAGAUGCAGGUUGCAUUUAUGUUGUCACAGUUUUCCAGGCUCUUUUUCCAAUGACUAAAAUGCAUGUUUGAGCUGUUUUAACUGAAAGUAACUUGCACUGACAUCUUAAAAUUUGUCUGUGAUAUUGUUUUGUCUCAAGAUGAAUGCCAAUAAUGUAUUUUUUUACUACUUAACCCCUUUCACAGACAAGGCUUAAACCUAGUCCCAGACUAAAAUGCAUGUCUGAGCUGUUUUAACUGAAAACAUAUCUUAAAAUGUCACCACUGCUGUUUAUCUUGAGACAAAACAAUGGCAAUGAUUGUUCUGGGUUCAUUCUGACGCCGGUGAACCCAAGAUGCUUCAUACACUUUGCCACCUCUAUGCUGCAAUAAACUUCAUAUUUG